rnacentral:rRNA from 1 species
GGCUUUAGAGUUUGAUCCCUGGCUCAGGAUGAACGCUAGCGGGAGGCCUAACACAUGCAAGUCGAACGGGGAUUCACCUUCGGGUGAUGAGAGUGGCGCACGGGUGAGUAACGCGUAUGCAACCUUCCCCAAUCAGGGGGAUAGCCCGGAGAAAUCCGGAUUAAUACCCCAUAUUAUUAUAGUUUCGCAUGGGACUUUAAUGAAAGCUUUGGCGGUUUGGGAUGGGCAUGCGUGGCAUUAGCUUGUUGGUGAGGUAACGGCUCACCAAGGCGACGAUGCCUAGGGGUUCUGAGAGGAUGAUCCCCCACACUGGUACUGAGACACGGACCAGACUCCUACGGGAGGCAGCAGUGAGGAAUAUUGGUCAAUGGGCGCAAGCCUGAACCAGCCAUCCCGCGUGAAGGAAGACUGCCCUAUGGGUUAUAAACUUCCUUUGUACAUGAAGAACGGGCCUUACGGGUAAG